rnacentral:misc_RNA from 1 species
GAGGGCGCAGCGGGGCCACGAACGCACCCGCCGGCAUCCUCCGCAUCCGAAAGCACGCUCUUGCGCCGAGGUCCGCCUGCCCCCCCACCCCAGCGGGGGGGCGGCGACGCACGGCAACCGUCCGAAUGCCCGCCGCMCAACUAUGUCCCCGGAGCCCGGGGGCUGCCGGGGCAUGGGCGGCCGGGUGCAAAACUCGAUCCACUGGUGCCAGUACCCCGAAAACUGCACAGGGUAGGAAGCACAGGCAACAACACACUCGGACCGCGAGGGGAGGAGCUUGAGCCCGGACCUCCGGCCAAAA